GGCGGCUGCUUAACACAUGCAAGUCGAACGGCUCGCAUGGUCUAGCUUGCUAGACUGAUGGCAGUGAACGGUGAGUACCGUAGGAAAUAUCCUUACAAGGACUGGAAUAAUCCUUGUGCGAAAGCUCAAGCUGAUACCCGGAUAUUUUUCUUAAGGAAGAAAGACUUGGGGACCUUCGGGCCUUGGCGCUUUAAGAAUUAGACCUGGCGUCCGAUUAGCUAGUUGGUAAGGUGAAAGGCCUACCCAAGGCACGACCAAUCGGUAGCUUGGUCUGAGAGGAUGGAUCAGCCCACACUGGGGACUGAGAUACUUGCCCAGACCCUACCGGGUGGCUGUAGUCAGAGAAUCUUCGGCAAUGGUGCGAAAGACCUGACCCGACGGACGCCGCGUGCGGAUGAAGGUCUUCGGAUUGUAAUCCGCUGUCACAGGGGAUGAAGUUAUGGUGGGUUCUCCCUCCAUAUUGUCAGAUCCUCAGAGGAAGCACGGGCUAAGUAUGUGCCAGCAGCCGCGGUAAUACAUACUGUGCGAACGUUAUUCGUCAUUCACUGGGCUUAAAGGGUGCGAUAGCUGGCUUGUUAAGUAGGGUGUGAAAGCCCCCAGCUCACUGGGGAACCGCCAUUCUAUACUGGCGAGCUAGAUUGAGAUAGGGGUGUGUGGAACUGCCAGUGGAGCGGUGAAAUGUGUUGAUAUUGGCAGGAACCCGGUGGCGAAAGCGGACACACCUGGGUCUCAACUGACACUGAGGCACAAAAGCCAGGGGAGCAAACGGGAUUAGAUAGCCCCGGUAGUCCUGGCCCUAACGUUGGGUACUAGGUGUAGAUAGACAUAGUUUACUUCCGAAGCAAAAUGCUAAGUCCCCCGGGGAGUGACCGC
rnacentral:rRNA from 1 species